GAGAGAGAGAGAGAGAGACCAAGACUAGCAUCAUCAUCUCCAUCGCUGUGAGCCUCGCAACGAUGAUAAGCAUUUGUUUAUCGCGCGGCCCGAUCCCCAACCCUCACCACCACUCCCUCUUCUUCAAACCCUCCCCUCCUUCUCCUUAUCUCCUCCGUCCCUUGCUCUUCCCCACUCGCCGCCGCCGCCACCGCCACCGUCAUCGUAUCCUCCUCCUCCGCCCCCGCGCCUCCCACCUCCUCUCCGCCCUCGACUCUGCUCCCUCCGUUCUCGAAGCCUCCGCCGUCCUCGCCGCCAUCAUCGUCGUCCAUGAACUCGGCCACUUCCUCGCCGCCUCCCUCCAGGGCAUCCACGUUAGCAAGUUUGCCAUCGGCUUUGGUCCUGUCCUGGCUCGCUUCGUCUCUGGCAGCGUCGAGUACUCCCUCCGUGCCUUCCCUCUCGGAGGUUUCGUUGGAUUCCCCGAUGAUGACCCCGACAGUGGCAUCCCCCCUGAUGACGCCGAUCUCCUUAAGAACCGUCCCAUACCUGAUCGUCUCCUUGUCGUCUCGGCCGGCGUUGCUGCUAACCUCUUGUUCGCUUAUCUGAUUGUCUUCUCUGAGGUAAUCUCCGUUGGCCUGCCCGUCCAGAAGCCUCUCGCUGGGGUUCUUGUCCCUGAGGUCCGCUCUGGCUCCGCUGCCGCUCGCGAUGGACUUCGACCUGGUGAUGUCAUUCUCGGCGUUGAGAACAUUGCCUUCCCCUCGGCGCCCUCCGUCUCGGAGGUCGUCGAUGUCAUUAAAAUGAGCCCGAAAAAGAGCGUGCCGCUGAGGGUGCUGCGCGGUGGUGCGGGCUCAGAGCCUAUGGUUGUUAACGUAGUCCCCGACCAGAGCUCCGAUGGCAGCGGGAGAAUCGGGGUCCAACUCUCCCCUAAUUACAGUGUCUCGAAGCUCCGUGCCAGCGAUCUUGCUGAAGCGACGAGACUUGCCGGCAAGGAGUUCUGGGGGCUUGCCACUGUUGUGGUGGAUGGGUUGAAGCAGACCUUCCUCAACUUCUCGCAGUCUGCGAGCAAGGUCUCUGGUCCGGUGGCGAUCAUUGCGGUGGGAGCUGAGGUGGCCAAGUCGAGCUCUGAUGGGUUGUUUCAGUUCGCUGCUGUUAUUAAUCUGAACCUCGCGGUGAUAAACCUUCUGCCAUUGCCAGCCCUCGACGGAGGGUCCUUGGCCUUGUUGCUCGUUGAGGCGGCCAGAGGAGGGAGGAAGCUCCCCAGGGAGUUGGAACAGAGGAUAAUGUCUUCUGGGAUUUUGGUUGUUCUGAUGCUUGGCUUGUUCCUUAUUGUUCGCGAUACUCUCAACCUUGAUUUCAUUAAGGAGAUGUUGUGAUGAUUAUUGAGAAUGAGAUGGCUUGAAGGAAGCUGCUCCUUGGAUCAGAUUGGUGUUGGAUACCUGCCAUUCGUCCAUGCCCUGCUUUGCAGGGUAACACUAACACCUUGCCAUCACUGAAUGUUUAUUCUCAUUAGGAAUACAAUCAGCUGCUGCACCAUUGACAGAAAUCCUUGAUGAGGAACGGGUGUUGGAAAAGGGAUGAAUUGAGACAUCUUCAAUCCAGUGGACCAAUCUGGUUUGUUACUUUCCUACCUGCUUCUCUCUAUCAUCUCAUCUAUUCUGUCCUAGUCUGGCCAAACACCAGCAUGCUCCAAGCUGUGUCAGGCUUUAUCACUCAUAUACCAUAUCAUUUCUUCAUUCUAUCUUUUAUUCUCUUGCUUCUGAAGUGCUUGUUUAGAUGUUAGUGUAAAGUUGGAGCUAAGAAGUAGCUUGGUUUCUCUGUAUAUUCAAGGAAAUCUUUAUAUAUAAAUUAUUCCAAUGUAGGUUGGGUUUAAAAGAAGGGUGAAGUCAUUGGAUUUCUUUUGUUUGAAGAGUGAUGUAAUAAAAUACUGGUUUAAUUGCUGUACAGGUCCCUGUAAUUAUGUAUUUUUUUAUCUUUUUAGUCAUUGUAAUAUUUUUUAGAUACAAUUAAGUCAUCAUAUUUAGUCAAGUUGGGUCAUUUUAGUCCGCGGUGUAGAUGGACAAGUGUAAAUUGCAAGGAUUUAAUUGUACUUAAAAAUAUUGCAGUGGACUAGAACGAUCCAACUUAAUCAAAUAUGAGGAUUUAAUUGUACUUAAAAAUAUUAGAAGGACUAAAAAAGCAGAAAAUA